rnacentral:rRNA from 1 species
UACGGAGGGGACUAGCGUUGUUCGGAAUUACUGGGCGUAAAGCGCACGUAGGCGGAUUUGUAAGUCAGGGGUGAAAUCCCGGGGCUCAACCUCGGAACUGCCUUUGAUACUGCAAAUCUCGAGUCCGGAAGAGGUGAGUGGAAUUCCUAGUGUAGAGGUGAAAAUUCGUAGAUAUUAGGAAGAACACCAGUGGCGAAGGCGGCUCACUGGUCCGGUACUGACGCUGAGGUGCGAAAGCGUGGGAGCGAACGAG